rnacentral:lncRNA from 1 species
CUUGUGACUGCUUGCCUUGAUUGAUAGAAUAUGGCGGAAGUAAGGCUGCGUGACGUCUGAGGCUUCUCCCUGGCUCUCUUUCUUGGGACACAUGCUUUGGAAGCCUUGAACCUACGUGUAAAAGGUCUGGCCACCUUGAAGCUGCCAUAUAGGAGAGACCACCUGGUGGAGAUGAAGAGAAGAACAACCAGAUGAAGCCAGUGGAGCAGAGAUGAGCUGUCCCUGCUGAACGCUGCCUGAAUUGAAGAUUUAUGAGCAAAAAUGCAUCUAGAAGAAGUUGGGUCAUCUCUGCAGAAGUCUUGGCUGGCUGAAGUCCCUUAAUCUGGUUACUUGGCCCAAGGGACAUGUAGUUACUUUAGAGCUGCUUCUGUCUUUUUCCACCUCCCGUGUGUGCUCAGCCAAGUUUCCAGCGCCUUCUUGAGGCCCCUGCAAACUCUUUAGUGCCUGCUGCUGCUGUCCCAUUUUGUCCUCACAUCGCUAUGUUAACUGCCUCAGAUUUCAAACGGAAUUUGUAAUGAGCUUUGCCUGGACACGACCUGUCAUAUGGAAGACAUGAUUUAUACACAGGGACACAAGAUUCUCUGUAAACGCUUUAUGGAGCCAGCUUCUACCGGAUGAUACAUACGUGUUGGAUUGGCUUCAUGAAGAGGCAAUCAGGCUAUUGACCUCCAUGUGACUCCAUCUUCUUGUACAAGCUAUUUCUCAAAUCUUCACACAAAGGAAGAGCCUCUCACAGUUAUGAUUUUAACUCCCACAGUGCCCGCAAACUAUUUACGAACAUUCCACCACACUGCUGACCUGACCUCAAAGACUCCCAUGUACACAGGAGCAUCUGCCCUCCGUGUAACAGAACAAGGACAGCCGUAAAGCCACGGCCCCGAAGCACCACGAUGGAGGGAAGGAAUCCAGAUGGAAGACUGGGUUUGGCUCUUCUUAUGCCAUAGCUAUACUCUGAGCAUAAAGCUAGGAAAAGUUCCUGGAGCCUUCUCAAGCAAUUCAGGUCACAAAUGGAGAGAUAUCCUUUCUCUUGCUUCCCUCUUCCAGGUGUGUAUAGGAAGACCCUGUCUGGACCCUGCUUUGCACUCCACAUUCGGCAUGAUUUGCUCCAGGG